rnacentral:lncRNA from 1 species
CUCAAGAUUUUGCAAUGUGACAUUAUAACGUGUCUCUGAUAUGCCUGUUAUUUUCUUCCAGCUGUUACAAGAGCAGCUGUUGUACAUUGUACACUCAGAGCAGCAUCACUGGUGCAGACCUUCUCAUUACCUUCAGCUGAUGUUUUUGCCAUCUCCAGGCCUAAGGUCCAUUUAUGAGGCUCCAGCAGAACCUGCAUACAGUAGAUGCAGAAAGGAGAGAAAUUCAGGAGAUCCUGCUGCUUUGCUGAGGACCAUAAGGAGGAAAAACAACAUAAGUGAAUGAAGAGAGAAGAUUUCAUUUAAUUUUUGUUGUACAUACAGUGCAUCUGAAAUGAUAUUUUCUUUUGAAGGCUGCUUCUAUACUGCCACAAGCACAGAACUGACAAUGAGGUAUAAUUGAUCUACAAGAGAAAUGCCAGGUUUGGCAUUUCAAAGUGAAAAUUUGUGUGUUAAGUAACAGUAACUGUACUAGCUCCUUAUCUGUCUUACCAUUCAGUACAGAACACAAAAUCUAUCUAGAUGCAUAUGUUCUAUACUUAUUGUCUAGUCUAUACAUGUUAUGUCUUGUUUCCUUGCCCUUUGUAGUUGCCUAUUUCUUUAAUAUCACAGGCUCUUUUGGACAGACAUUUUGUCUGGCUAUAUUUCAGGUGAGACAGCGCUACAAGGUGUGCUGGGGCAUAUAAUCACCACUGUAUUGGCUGGUUCCGUAGUCUACAGACAAUCAUGCAAAAGUCGAUAUGUCCAUUUAGGAAAGUAUCUAUGAGGGAAAAAAAAAAGGUUAUUUCUUUAUAUUAAUUACACCAAUAAUGGUCAUUGAUUUCCAUUGUCUUAAUUUCCAGGCAGAUUCUGCACACUUUGAUCAAUGCUUUGUGAUCCUGCUUGUGUUGUACAAAACUUUUGAACAAACUCCUUUUUUCAGUAGUCAAAGGAAGGUCCUAGUAAGUAGUAUUAAGAAAGAAAAUAAGUCUUUCUUAGAUGGUGGGGUCCUUCUUGUCACUAGCUGAACAAAAGGGAAAAAUAUUUCUUGUCUUUAAAAGGAAGUUUAAGUUAAUUAUGAUUUUAAAAUUUCAAGUAAUUUGUAGCUACCGGAUAAAACUACAUUUUCUAAUGAAUUAAUUUUGAGGCUAUCUGCUCUACCAGCUUUGUAAAGUAUCAAUAUGAAAUUUGAAAAAUAAUACUAAAUUUCUCUUCUUUUUUAGAAACUUUCUGCCAGAGCGAGAAAGAUAAGCUUAAGUCUACCUAAGACCUAAAAGGCAAAUAGUUUUAUUUAUGCAUAUGAUGCA